GUCUACGGAGAUGAAGAAUGGUCCUUUGGAUACUGCGACUAUGGUAGUGGAGUUUUCAGUUGUCCACUGAGAGAGAAUCCUAUGUAUACCUUUCGUGAGUCCAUCGUACUUGGCAACACAAGCUGUUCCAUUUUCACGGUAAAUCAAAUAUUGAGAGAACUUAGCAGAGAAUGGCCUGGGAACUCGUACGACCUUCUAUCUAGAAACUGCAAUCAUUUCUGUGAUGCUUUCUGCGAGAGGCUUGAUGUGCCUAAGCUUCCAGGUUGGGUUAAUCGGUUUGCCAAUGCUGGUGAUGCGGCAAUGGAGGUGGCGGAAACUACAGCGACAAAGUUUAGACAAGCCAAAGAAGAAAUUCUAAAUGCCGGCAAGGUGGCCUACAGAUUCUUCACUGGUUCAUCCUCAAACACUACACCAGUGACAGAAGAGAACCCUAGCAAUUCAAAUAGCCCGGACCCACUUUUCGCUGGUACGUGGUUCAAAAAUCUCAUUAAUGCCGGCGACAAGCCGCCAAAUAGUAUCGUAGGGUCCCCAGAAGACUCCGAUUAUGAAGAAUCCGAAGAUGAAGAAGAAACACCCGAGGAGCAGAAUCUCAUCGAACAAGCACAAAUCGGAACAAAGCACGAAUUCCGAGAUUCAUCAGCUCUGUGAUUUGUGUGAGUAGUGUUUUUAGUACUAAUCAAACCAAGUAUUAAUGACUUGAACAGAAUGAGUAAAAAAAUGGUUACGACGGAUAAGCACGAACGAGAUACAGCGAAUCGAACGCUGCGAUGCUCUUUUCGGGGCUUCCUUCGACAAACCAUUCCCAGGAGCAGAAUCAAUUUUCUCUCAUGUUGGUGAUGGUGCUUAAUUUUCUUGUUUUUGUAUUAAUUUUGUUCUUAAGAUGAUAUUUAUGAGGGGGGGGGAGUAUUUUUUUUGUUUGGAUUGCUAAUGUUGUUGGCUUUGGGCAUUACCUGGAAGAGUUGUGUUUGAGAGGAGCUGAGAUGUAAAACCUUGUAAAAAGGAUAAUUGAACAUUAUUUAUUUUUCUCUCAUAGCAAGUUUGAGCUC